rnacentral:rRNA from 1 species
GAUGAACGCUGGCGGCGUGCCUAAUACAUGCAAGUAGAACGCUGAAGCUUGGUGCUUGCACCGAGCGGAAGAGUUGCGAACGGGUGAGUAACGCGUAGGUAACCUGCCUCUUAGCGGGGGAUAACUAUUGGAAACGAUAGCUAAUACCGCAUAAAAGUCGGCAUUGCAUGAUGUUGACUUGAAAGGUGCAACUGCAUCACUAAGAGAUGGACCUGCGUUGUAUUAGCUAGUUGGUGAGGUAACGGCUCACCAAGGCGACGAUACAUAGCCGACCUGAGAGGGUGAUCGGCCACACUGGGACUGAGACACGGCCCAGACUCCUACGGGAGGCAGCAGUAGGGAAUCUUCGGCAAUGGACGGAAGUCUGACCGAGCAACGCCGCGUGAGUGAAGAAGGUUUUCGGAUCGUAAAGCUCUGUUGUAAGAGAAGAACGAGUGUGAGAGUGGAAAGUUCACACUGUGACGGUAACUUACCAGAAAGGGACGGCUAACUACGUGCCAGCAGCCGCGGUAAUACGUAGGUCCCGAGCGUUAUCCGGAUUUAUUGGGCGUAAAGCGAGCGCAGGCGGUUAGAUAAGUCUGAAGUUAAAGGCUGUGGCUUAACCAUAGUACGCUUUGGAAACUGUUUAACUUGAGUGCAGAAGGGGAGAGUGGAAUUCCAUGUGUAGCGGUGAAAUGCGUAGAUAUAUGGAGGAACACCGGUGGCGAAAGCGGCUCUCUGGUCUGUAACUGACGCUGAGGCUCGAAAGCGUGGGGGAGCAAACAGG